AUUGAACGCUGGCGGCAUGCCUUAUACAUGCAAGUCGAACGGUAACAGGCGUCCGUGUGCUGACGAGUGGCGACCGGGUGAGUAAUGCUUCGGAACGGACCCAGUGGCGGGGGAUAACGGAGCGAAAGCUGUGCUAAUACCUCAUGCGAUCUGAGGAUGUAAGCGGGGGACCUAACAGCAAAGAUUGGCCUUGCCCCUUUGGAGCGGCCGAUGUCGGAUUAGCUAGUUGGUUGGGUAAAGGCCUACCAAGGCGACGAUCCGUAGCUGGUCUGAGAGGACGACCAGCCACACUGGGACUGAGACACGGCCCAGACUCCUACGGGAGGCAGCAGUGGGGAAUUUUGGACAAUGGGCGCAAGCCUGAUCCAGCAAUGCCGCGUGCGGGAAGAAGGCCUUCGGGUUGUAAACCGCUUUUGGCAGGAACGAAACGGUGUCCGCUAAUACCGGGCGCUAAUGACGGUACCUGCAGAAUAAGCACCGGCUAACUACGUG
rnacentral:rRNA from 1 species